GGGAGCCUCAGGAAUUUAUUUGUUUUAUUCUUUCCAGUAGAUGGCACUGGAGAUCCACGAAGGCUUUUCAGGUUGAACUUUAACGGUUUGGCAAAUGCUGGGCGUGUUCAUAAAACAGACUAGAACGCUGUUGGACACAUUUUUCUGCUCAGAGGGAGAGAGAGAGAGAGAACCUCAUCAUGCAGAUGGUUUUCCUUUUGUUUUCGCUCAUGGGCGUUUGUCUGAGCGUCGAGGUCCAUCAAACUCCUCCAGCAGCUUUCAGAAAACUCGGACAGGACAUCCAGUUGGUCUGCAGCCACGGAAAGACCGACUACACGCUCAUGCAGUGGUACCAGAAAUCCCCCGGAGACAAAGCGCUGAAGCGCAUUGGACACUUGAACUACGGCAACAAAGAACUUGAAAAACCUUUCGAGGGACAUUUUAGCCUUAAUGGAGACCUGAGUGGAGACACGGCGAAGAACGGCUCUCUGUCGAUCACGGACCUGAAACCUGAACACGCUGCGGUGUAUUACUGUGCAGCCAGCUACGCACAGUGACAGCAAAGCCAGCAUUCUUCAUCCAAAAACUCAGACCGCUUUCUGUUGGUUUAUGUUUGAAUAAGCCCCACCCACUUCUUGAUUUAAUGCCAUCACUUUUUCCUCUUCGUGGUUCACCUGACCGUUAGUCAGAAUCGCAGUCUGAUAGCAUUUGUCACACUUUUAAGACUUAAUGUCACCGAUCGGGUUUUAACAUGAUUCGUUUUCUCCUUUUUUGUUUCAUAACAGGUGUUGCUUUCGGUCUUGAGGUCCGUCAGUCCCGCUCCGACAUCAUCGUGAAACCUGGAGAAAAAGUUCACAUCUUCUGCACCCACGAGAAAACGGACUACUGGAUAAUGCUCUGGUACCGGCGGCCGCCUGCAGACACGGCUCUGAAACUAAUCGGACAUUUGUACAUGAGCGACAUCAAGAUGGAGGACGAAGACGACCGAAACGUCCAACUCGAUGGAGACUUGAGCGGCAGCACAGCAAAGAAUUCCUCUCUGGUGAUCAACGUUGUGGAUCCGAAACACUCGGCUGUUUACUACUGCGCAGCACGAGAAGCACACCGAUGAAGAAUCCUGCCUGUGCUUUACAAAAACCUGCUUUAUCACCAUCAUCAGUGGUUUGGCAGAAGAAUUUUGAAAAAAAACAAAAAAACUGCUCUCAAGCACCUGCUUCUCUGUUUUGAAAAUUGAGCGUCUUCAUGCUAAAAAGUGACAUUGUUCUAUUAAAAAAAUUAAGUAAAAAAAAAUUAUCCCAAAAAACAAAACUCACCCAAAGAUAGUAGCUAAUAAAUUAGACCUAAGCUUUACAGAGAACUAGGUUAAUCAAAGUUUAUUUCUAAAGUUUAUUUCCCAAUCUACUAAAAAAAAAAAAAAGUAGAUUGAGAUUACUUUUUCACAAAGGUCCAG